CAGAGGUGGCGAGCGUUGUUCGGAAUUACUGGGCGUAAAGGGCGCGUAGGCGGUCUUGUAAGUCUCGUGUGAAAUCCCUCGGCUUAACUGAGGAACUGCACGGGAUACUGUUUGACUUGAGUUCGGGAGAGGGAAGCGGAAUUCCGGGUGUAGCGGUGAAAUGCGUAGAUAUCCGGAGGAACACCGGUGGCGAAGGCGGCUUCCUGGACCGACACUGACGCUGAGGCGCGAAAGCUAGGGGAGCAAACGGGAUUAGAUACCCCGGUAGUCCUAGCUGUAAACGAUGAGUGCUGGGUGUAGGAGGUAUUAACCCUCCUGUGCCGAAGCUAACGCAUUAAGCACUCCGCCUGGGGAGUACGGUCGCAAGGCUG
rnacentral:rRNA from 1 species